rnacentral:rRNA from 1 species
UACUCCUACGGGAGGCAGCAGUGCGGAAUUUUAGAUAAUGGAGGGAACCCUGAUCUAGCGACGCCGCGUGCAGGAAGAAGGUCUUCGGAUUGUAAACUGCUGUGGUAAGGGAAAAAUGCUAUGUAGAGUGGAAAGCUACAUAGAGGGAUGGUACCUUACUAGAAAGCCCCGGCUAACUACGUGCCAGCAGCCGCGGUAAUA